AUUGAUGAGUCAUCAUGGUUCAAGGACAUGUCCAUUGACAAUCUUUUAUUUAUUUUGGUCAUUUCAGUUUUAGACUUUUUUCGUGAGCUAGGGAUUUUUCCUAGUCACAUAUAUAAUUGGUAGAGAUUUAUGUCAGACUUAGUAUGUUCUUUCCGUAAUUUGAGUUUUGUAUUAAGAUUCUCUUAUAUCGAGACUAUAUCUUGAGACUUCUUUUAGUUUGGUGAUUUCUUGCA
rnacentral:lncRNA from 1 species